ensembl:misc_RNA Metazoa_SRP Metazoan signal recognition particle RNA
GCCGGACGCGGUGGCGCGCGCCUGUAAUCCCAGCUCCCCGGGAGGCUGAGGUCGGCGGAUCGUGGGUGCUCGGGGGUUCGGAGCUACGGCGCUGUGUGGAGCGGGCGUCCGCACCGGGCCUGGCACCAACAUGGGACUCCCGGGGGAGCCCGGGAGUACCAGGUUGUCUAAGGAGGGGGGGACCAGGCCCAGGCCGGACACGGAGCAGGUCAAACUCCCCGUGUUGGGCGACGGUGGGACCGCGCCUGCGAGCAACGCCUGCAGUUCCGCCCGGGACAUCCGAAGAGACCCGGUCUCUU